AAGUUCUUAUCGCGAGGUCUUCAGCGGGUAAAUUGCAGGUGAAGGAGAAAGAGGAAAAGCUAAGAGCCCCAAAACCGCUUCAGUCUGACCCAGAUAUGCACAAGGAUUCCCCUCCACACCUCCUAAAACUCAAAAAGGAUUCCCCUUUUACCUUUCAUGUUCACUUAGCAUGACGUGUUCUGCUGUGGUGCUACAAUGUGGAGCCAGACAGACUGAAGGUGGUGAAGAGAAAGUGAGGUAUCUUGCUUGAUCGAAUGGUACCAGUACUUCAGGUAUGUUUGACAGUCACUCAGUUGGUAUCUGAAUGACAUUUACUGAGUUCACUCCUAGUA
rnacentral:lncRNA from 1 species